rnacentral:rRNA from 1 species
GACGAACGCUGUCGGCGUGCUUAACACAUGCAAGUCGAACGGAAAGGCCCUGCUUUUGUGGGGUGCUCGAGUGGCGAACGGGUGAGUAACACGUGAGUAACCUGCCCUUGACUUUGGGAUAACUUCAGGAAACUGGGGCUAAUACCGGAUAGGAGCUCCUGCUGCAUGGUGGGGGUUGGAAAGUUUCGGCGGUUGGGGAUGGACUCGCGGCUUAUCAGCUUGUUGGUGGGGUAGCGGCUUACCAAGGCUUUGACGGGUAGCCGGCCUGCGAGGGUGACCGGCCACAUUGGGACUGGGAUACGGCCCAGACUCCUACGGGAGGCAGCAGUGGGGAAUAUUGCACAAUGGGCGGAAGCCGGAUGCAGCAUCGCCGCGUGCUGGAUGACGGCCGUCGGGGUGGAAACCGCUUUCGCCUGUAACGAAGCGUGAGUGACGGUAAUGGGUAAAGAAGCACCGGCUAACUACGUG